GGGCCGUUAGCAGUUGGUAGAGCAGUUGACUCUUAAUCAAUAGGUCCAAGGUUCGAAUCCUUGACAGCCCACCA
rnacentral:tRNA from 1 species